CCUACGGGGGGCAGCAGUGGGGAAUUUUGCACAAUGGGGGAAACCCUGAUGCAGCGACGCCGCGUGAGUGAAGAAGUAAUUCGUUACGUAAGGCUCUAUCAGCAGGGAAGAAAAUGACGGUACCUGAGCAAGAAGCCCCGGCUAACUACGUGCCAGCAGCCGCGGUAAUACGUAGGGGGCAAGCGUUAUCCGGAUUCACUGGGUGUAAAGGGUGCGUAGACGGUGCGCCAAGUCUGGAGUGAAAUGCCGCGGCUUAACUGGGGAACGGCUUUGGAAACUGGCGAACUAGAGUGCGGGAGGGGUAAGCGGAAUUCCUGGUGUAGCGGUGAAAUGCGUAGAUAUUAGGAGGAACAUCGGUGGCGAAAGCGGCUUACUGGACCGUAACUGACGUUGAGGCUCGAAAGCGAGGGGAGCAAACAGGAUUAGAUACCCCAGUAGUC
rnacentral:rRNA from 1 species